CACAACCGCGCUAAGGAGCCCGCCGAUGCACUGUGCGAACGCGUCCUGAAUCGCACUCUCAGUUUCAAUAAAAGAGAAGGUUCCACUAGAUGUCUCGGCGAUCGAAUGCAAGGCAGUUGAAUCGUGAUCGGUGCCAAAUCCAAAGGCGUGGAUCGGAAUUCUUUGGCCUGAGCCAAAGAAUGGAUAACGGGAUAAGCGGCCUAUAGUCUAUAGAGGCUCCGCUAUUGUUAGAGGAGAUGGUGUACGUAUCUUGUCCAUCGGAAAGAAGGAUUAUGCUACCAACUGGAUUCUUAAGACGCCGUUGAUCGAACACCUUGGCAGCUUUCUUCAAUCCCUCUGCUAUGUUGGUGCCGCCGUUAGCAACCAGCGAUCGAAUUGACAGCUUGCAGGGCUGCAUGCCUACCAAUCUCUGACAUACGACGGAGGUGGAAGAGCCGACGGGCCAUGGAUGAAAAUGCAAUGACGGAGAGCCGAUCAGACGGACCGAGAUUUUGGAUCACAAACCCUAAUGCGCGCUUCAAAAGUGCAAGUUUCGUUCCCGCCAUGCUGCCACUUACAUCAAUGACCGCGACGAGGUCUAUAGGAGCACGCGAAGAUUGCACGCUCGUCGAAGUAGGAUGAGGGGCUUUGACAUGUAUCAAUAUAGUAAAGUCUUCGUGCGAUGAUGAUUGUGGAAUCGCAGAGAAUUCCGGAUAUGUCCUUAACUCCACUCUUCUAUCAGAUUCAGUUUGGGGAAUUUGAACUGUUUCGGACUGCAAAACUAUAGGCUCAUCAUCAUUGAAAGCGGCCGGCUCUUCAUCACGGUAGAGAGGAAGGUACCGGUGCACCUGGCUCACAAAGUCUACGACUGGGUUCGCUUGAGCUUGUCCGAGAGUUACGUCAAAGGCGGGGGGGCUGAGGAGGGGAAUCUCACUCCAUUUGGCUCUACAAACCGGACACAGAGAAUUACCGUGCUUUAUGCUCGAUGAGAUGCAGUGGAAGUGGAACAUAUGAGAGCAUUCUGCAGUGAAGAGCGCAUGGCCGCAGCCGGCCGGUUUCAUGGCACAAAGGCAUAUGGCACAUAUUCUCUGAAAAUGUGCUUUUUUUUAAUGAGACUUGUUAGGGAACUUGUAUAAACAUGUGAAAUAGAAAAUAGAUUACAAAAAUAACAAGAUUGCAUCUGGUAUAAUAGGUUUCAUAUUUAGAGCUGAAGGGUGAACUAGAAAAAACAAAUGUACUCAAACUAGAUAACAAAUAUAUAAAAAAUUGAUCAUACAGGCUAAAUUUUGCUUACAUAGAACAGAACAAGGUACAAAAUUGAAGCGCUAAUUUUAAGCAAUAAUGCACCAAAAGAAAGUUAAUAUGGUUACUAGGAAUUUCAUUAUCAGCAAAGUCAAACACAAAUAUAUACUAAACAUUUUAGAAAAUGAUAGAUCCAAAAUCUUCUUCUGGUUUUUUUUUUUUUUUUUUUUUUUUUUUUUGUCUCAUAUUAAACAGAUUAUCAAAAGGAGUUCCAGGGCCUUUCACUCAACUGAAUACCAGUGAUUAGAACUUGCAUCCUAUAUGUAAUUGUACACUGCGUACGUACAUAUUAUACAUACAAAGAAAUGUGUCCGAUUACAUUUAAAUAUAGCCAGAUAAAUAGCAGGCGAUCAUAAAAAGAAGCACAAAAUAGGGCUUGGAUAACAGAGCAAAGUAUCUGCAAGAUAGAAGUAUGAGUUAUUUAACUACCCAAUACCAUAUAACAGACUCAGAGAUAGGGAUGCAAACGGAUCCGGGUUGGUGGAGCUCCGGCCCCGAUCCGCCCCGACGGGAGCAGUAAAUGAGAGAAAAUAAACGGAUUCGGGGCAGGAAACGGGAUAAGUUUUACGAUCCGAGACGGAUUCGGGGCAGAAAACGGGAAAAAUUUUGACCCGCCCCGAAUCCGCCCCGCCCCGAAUCCGCCCCGAAUAUCAUUUGUAUUUUUAAAAAAUAUUCCCCAAAAAUAAUUAUUUAUAAAAAAGUUUAAAAUACAAAUAAAUUAUUACUCUCAUUUCUAUGUAUUUGAAAUAUUUGAAUUUUGUUUUGAAUUGUGAUUGAUAUUUUUAAUUUUUACCAUUAAUAUUAUUAAAUUAUAUAUAUAAUAUUAUUAAAAAUUAUUAAUUUAUAUUUUACAAAAUAUUAAUAAUAUUAUAAUUUUAUAAAAAAUAUUAGUUGGCGGGCGAUUCGGGGCGCCGGCGGGAGGCGGUUACGAGGCGGGGCGGAUUAUGGGAUGUAUUUUUUAACCGCUCACGGAUUCGGGGCGGGAGGCGGGACGGAAUUUUGCUAGUCGGGGCGGAGCGGGGGUUGUCUUCCGCCGCCAGAUCCGCCCCGUUUGCAUCCCUACUCAGAGAUGAUCUAAAAGUAUACAACACCAGUUAAUCCUCUAAAACAUUAACAUCAACAAAGAAUAUAAUAUCCUACACAAUUUUUGUCUUCGAAUUUUUGUUUGUUAUAAUUUCUGACCGGAGUUAUGAGAUGCGCGACAUUUUAGCCGUCGAACUGUAGUUGCAAUUUUUUGUUCGAACUAUAAGGCGUAUGGCACUUUAGUUCUCAAACUUUUCGAAUUAUUACAAUUAAGAUUCACCGUCCAUUUUUUUUUUUUUAAAUAAGCGUUGAUGAAGUACUAAUAUUAAAAUAAUAUAAUAUUUUAAUUAUUAUUAUAUUAUUAAGUAUGAUAUUUUUAUGAUUUAGAAAGUUCGAGAACUAAAAUAUUACAUAUCUUAUAAUUCGUACAAAAAAUUAUAACUAAUUAAAGUUCGAAAUUAAAAUAUCACGCUCCUCGUUCGAGUCAAAAAUUACAACGAAUUAAAGUUCGAUGACUAAAUUAAGUAUUGCACUCCUAGUAGUUUUUAGACCAAAAGUGUAAUUUACUUUUAUUUUAUUUUAUUUUAUUUUUUCGUCAUCUUGGUGUGGGUACUGCCUAGACCACAAUGUAAUUCCCUCCCACAUUCCUGAAUUGAAUCUUGGACUUUUUUUAAGAUGAGCAUCAGAUGGGUAAUAUGAUUUUCAAGGGGCCCAACACGGUGGGAAAACUCCUUUGUGAGUGGCUGAGAAGGAAUUCGCAGAGAACUCCUACAUGAUUGGCUGUUCAAAACUGUUGGGUUUAUCCUUUCGGUCAUUGAUUGUGUUCAUCUGAUCAUUUGAGGAAGAAGUAGAGAGCUAGCUACACAGGAAACAUGGCUUUGGCCUUGGUAGCUGAGUCCGCGGCAUCGGUCGUAAUCGAGAAGCUGAUCAGCACAGCCGUAUCCUACGUCGGGACGUGCGGUGCCGGGCCGAGCACCAUGCAGGACGAGAUCCAGAGGCUUCAGCAGGCUUUUCUGCGGAUUCGAACGAUCUUGGCUUUCGUCGAGGGGGGGCAGACCGUCACUACGAAGCAAAACGACGUACUGGACGCCUGGCUGUGGCAGCUCAGAGACGCUGUCGAUCAGGCGGAGGACGUGCUCGAUGAGAUGGAGUACUACGAGCUGGAGAAGGCAGUGCAAGCUGGAGAUAACAAGGUACUGUCGGGGGUUAAAGUCUGGAAUUUGAUUUAAUUUUACAGAUUUUUGAUUAAAUCAACUAACAAAUAAAUAUUAAAUUAAAGACAAAAUUAAAUUAAUAGAUAAAAGGUUUCGAAAAAUAGCAAGGUGAGACGUGCAAUAAAGUAACUUUAGUCUCUCUGCGUGUUUGUCUUCGGCUAGUUGCUCUAGCAACACAAUACUUCGAAUUAUUCCGAUCUGCUUAAUUGUACGGUCUCAAAGAAGUGCCUAAUUUAAUAUCAAUUCGACUUUCAAAAUUUCAACUUUCGAAAAUAAGAUAUGAUAGAGUAAAAUUUUUUUUUUAAUUACAAUCUCGUAUAUAUCUCUUUUUUAUUAUUAUAUCUCGUAUAUAUCUCGUAUAAUAAUAUAUAAACUUGACGGUCGAAAGAACGAUGUAGGACCUUCUGCUAAAGAGGGAUACACUAUCCCGCAUCUCGUGGAAAGCUGUGUACCCCAUUUUUCCGAUAGAGGAGAGAGAAUACGUUGCGUAACUAAAGGUGUCCGUGGACCGCGUCAGGUUUGGGUAGUUGAUAUACUAUACCCGUACCCUAAAACGAGAUGGAUACGAAAACAAAAACUAUACCCUACCCAUUUGACUUCGGAUCGGAUUCGGGUCUGAAUACUUAAAUUAAUAAUAUACCAAUCAGGUCUAUUUGAGCGGGUCUGGAUAGUGAUUACCUAUAUACUAUCCGCUUAAAAUCGAAUGCUAGGGUCUAGAUCGGGUAUGGGUACCAUAUGUAUAUAUUUUUUAUAAAUUUUAUUAAACAAUUUAUAGACAAAUUAUAAACCUAUCAUGAUAAAAAACCCACGUUUAAUUAGUUGCACCUAGUCCAAUAAAAUUCGUUUAAAAAAAAAGAUUCAAAUAGUAAACAGCUACAAUUAAAAAAUGAGUUAAAAAAAAAAGAGUAAACAAAAAGACCAGGGUUUUCACUAGGAUGAAAAUAUACAGAGAUCCUUCAUUUCUAAGUCCUAUUGAAAUUGAUCGCUCAACUUUAGAUUUUUUAUUUGCUAUCGGGUAUUUUACCGGGUCCAGAUCCGAGUCCGGUUCCGAGUUCGGAUUUGAAACCUCUUCCAUACCCUACCCAUUAAAAGAUCGGGUUCAGGUCCAAGUCGGGUAUGGAUAUAAAGUAUUCGGACCCAUACCUGAAACUUUAAUGGAUAUUCUUUUUUACCCGUAUACUAUCUAUUUUUUAUCGGGUCCGGUUUGGAUCCGGAUAGGGUCCGGAUCGGGUAUGGUAUAUCGGAUAUUUUGGACAGCUUUACGCGUAACUUCCUCAUAUUAAAUAUAUUGCAUUUAAAUUAAAUUUUAAAUUGUCUUUUAAUAAUCUAUUUGAUUUUAAUUAAAUUUCUUAACUUAGACUAAUUCCAACAGGUACAACAAGGUACUGCACUCAACUUAAAAAGGAAGUUUGCUGAUUUUGCUAACAAUAUCUUCGGAAACGACGACACCGUGACGAGGUUGAGGGAGGCCGUGAAGGCGUUAGAUAAUGUUGCUGCUACUAGUGAAACUUUACUCCAGCUUGUUUCGCAGCUAUAUAAUUCGGAUGUUAAGCGUCAACAGGAAGAUGAGAUACGAAAUGCUCGUGAGACUAGCUCCUUUUUAACUGAGGAUACGAUUUGUGGCCGAGACACGGAGAAGGAAAGGAUAGUUGAAUGGUUAACAAAACCGACAAGCGAUGAGCCGGAGAAUGCUUCUGCAACUGUCGAAAAGGUCUCGGCUUUUACGAUCGUUGGCAUGGGUGGGUUGGGAAAAACUACUCUCGCGCAGCUCAUCUACCACGAUGAAAAAGUGCGGCAGUGCUUUGACUUGGUUUUGUGGGUGUGUGUUUCCGAUCAAUUUGAUGUGGCUAUGCUGACAAGAAAGACCUUAGAAGCGGCAGGGGUUUGGGAUAGCCUCGGAGACAAGAGACUUAAUACAAUUCAAGAGAUUCUUAAAGAGAAGCUGAUCUCCAAGAAGUUUCUUCUCGUGCUGGAUGAUGUUUGGAAUGAUGAUAAAAUACUUGAAUGGGAUAAAUUCAUGGCUCCUUUAAAAUUCGGAAAGAAAGGAAGCAAGAUUCUCUUGACAACGCGAAUGAAUUCAGUGGUGAAUACAGUAGCCAAAGUUCUACAAGGUAAAAAAGAAUCUUUAAAAUUGAGUGGGUUAAAAGAAGAUGAUUUUAUACUACUUUUCAAUAAGCAUGCCUUUGCCGGAGAGAACAUUGACAAUCAUAGAAACUUACAGUUGAUUGGUCAACAAAUAGCAAAGAAGCUUGGGGGAUGCCCGUUGGCAGCAAAAAUUUUGGGCGGAUGUCUGAACUCUUGGAUGGAUGAAAAAUAUUGGAGAAGAAUUUUGAAUGAAAAUUUUCUAAAUUUGCGAGAAAGUGAGGACAACAUUAGGAUGAUUCUGAGAUUGACCUAUCAUCAUCUGCCGACAAGCUUGCAAAUUUGCUUUAGAUACUGCAGUAUAUUUCCUAAGGAUUCUUUGUUUGAAAAGAAUGAGCUUAUCCAUGUGUGGAUAGGUUCUGGGUUAAUCAAGAAACAAGUAUAUGAAAAGCGAAGCUUAGAGGAUAUCGGAGAGGAGUAUUUAAACCAUCUAGCAAGAAAAUCCCUUUUUGAUAUCAAAAUAAGCGACUAUGGUUCUGACCGUAAACAACAUUAUGUCAUGCAUGAUCUGUUGCAUGAUCUAGCUCAAUUUGUCUCUUCAGGGGAAUGUAUGGGAGUUGAAGGUGACGGUUCCAGACAAAUUCCAAAAACAAUACGCCACUUAUUUCUCAACAGGGUAAACAGUCGUAUGAUCUCCAAUCUCAAGAACUUACGCACCCUUAUUAUUAUUCAUUCAGACAAGGACUAUGAUGCAGUAGCUUUUAAUGAGGUUCUAAAAGAGUUAAAAAGCUUACGCUUACUACAAGUGAGUAUAGUUGACUAUAAGUUUCCCGAUGAAGUUGGUAAACUCAUUCACCUCCGCUACCUCUCCCUCUGGACUUUCACACAAAAGGAGGUAUCUAUUGUACCUCAAUCUGUGUGUAGACUCUAUCACCGACUUUCGGGGAACUGAAAUAGAUGAUUCGACACUGGAUGGAAUGAGCAAUCUAGUUCAAUUGAGGCUGCUAAAUAUUCCUGCUUUUGUAACAGCCAAGAUUCCUUGGAUCGGCAAAGUAACAUUACUUCAGAACUUAAAUUAUUUCCAUGUCCGUGAGGAGCGCGGCUAUAAUAUAGAUCAAUUAAAAGACCUGCAAAACCUCCGAAAAUUAUGCAUUAGGGGCCUGGAAAAUGUAAGGAGUUCCGAAGAGGCUGCGGAUGCCAACUUGAUUGAGAAAAAAAAUCUUGAUGAAUUGUCACUCGAUUGGUCUAGGAAUCGCUCUGGUGGUCUCGAGGUAGAUCAGCCGCUUCUUGAUAAUUUAAAACCACAUACCAAUCUCAAGACACUUGCAAUCGCAGGAUACGCCGGAGUUAGAUCUCCACAUUGGAUGACGGCGACAUCUCUUUCCAAUGUAACAGAUAUCAAUCUAUACGACUGUAGCAGAUGGGAGAACCUCCCACCUUUUGGGCAACUUCCUUUGCUCAGGCUUCUUAAUUUACAAAGCAUGCGGGCUGUGAAGAAACUAUGGUGCUCAAGAAGUGGUGGUGGUUGCGCCUUUCCAUCACUACAGGAGCUACAAUUGUUUGACAUGCCAGACUUGGAGUUGUUCGAAGGUGAGCACAUGUUUCCUCUGCUUAAUAAAUUGCUUAUACAUUCUUGUCCUAGCUUGAAGGGUUUACCUGCUUUGCCUCUUACUCUAAAUCAACUGGAGAUUAAGGAGGCCGGAUUGACUUCUCUUCCGAUGAUGCAACAAGAUUGCAGUAGCGGCCAAGGACGAGCAUCAUGCUCAUCAUCGCAUCCGGCACUUUCUGAACUAAGAAUUUGUGAGUGCCCCAACCUCACAUCUCUAGAUGGAUUCAUGUUGCAGCAACAAUAUUUUCCAGCCUUGAAGAGUUUAUCCAUUGAAAGAUGUGAAAAUCUAAGGCAUUUGCCGGAAAAAUUCUUCCAAAAACUUCCCUCCCUCGAGCGUUUGACUAUAGAAAUGUGUCCCAAUCGCACGACGCACGGGAUUCUAGACGAUCGAUUGCCCGAGACGCUUGAAAAGCCCACUCUUGUAUCAAACGGCGAUCUCUAUCUGUCGCUACUCGAGUCAUUGCCAAUACUGGCCGCUAUACGCUACUUGUCCAUUGUUGGUUGUGCAAGCAUGACGUCCUUUCCUCUGGCGGAAGUUUUUCCAAGGUUGUCGCAACUCUGCAUCCGGAAUUGUAAGGAACUGUCGUCAGUGGAUGGGCUACAAGCUCUCCCCUCGCUUGAAUCCUUGCAGAUUGGAGGGUGCGACGCGCUCGUCGAGCUUUCACUGUUGCAACCACCAUUAGGCGUCGCUAGUACCAGCCACACAGAUAUGGUGCUGCGCCCUUCAAUGGAUCUUUAUAUCGACCGGCCAGCUCUGUUGCGUCUCGAACCACUGAGAAGCCUCAGCUUUGUUAGCUCACUCAGCAUACAUGAUGGCACCGAACUCACAUCCCUCGACGAGCAAUGGCUGUUGCAAAACCGAAACUCCCUUAAAAGCUUGGAAAUUUUUGAGGCCUCGUCUCUUGUAUCCUUACCAACCAGUAUGAUUGAUCUUCAAGCCCUGCGUCAUUUGACUAUAGAUGAUGCUCCUUUGCUUGAGACGAUUCCAGAGCUGCCCGCCUCAAUGAAUUCUCUAACAAUUACCGGCUGUCGCCCCGAGUUGAAGGAGUACAUAGAAGGCUCCCAAAAAUUCGCCAAUAUUCGUUGGGUGCAGGUUACUGAAAAAUCUCCUUACUAAGAAAAAGAUCGGGUAUGCCCCAUCUCUGUACUAUCUCUAACCCUCUUAAAUGCAACUUUUUCUUCUCAAUAUUAUUUGUAUCUUAGUCUUGUUUUACUACCCUGCUUUUUUUUUUUUUUUUUAAUUUUUGUUCCUCUACUUUCAGCAGCAACAGACUCUUAACAGAGCAUGUGACAUAUAAAAUAUUAUAUUUGUUAGAGAAGUAUAUUUUUAUAUUGUUUAUUAACUUAAUUACUAAUUGAAUAAGUGGUAAAGGGUUGGGUGGUUGGUAUCCGAGACCCAAGUUCGAAUCCUAGUUGAUUGACAUUUCCAACUAAGUUUAUUUUUAAAUGAAAUAAACGAAGCGGGUAGCAUGCUACCUAUCUCUCAAAAAAAAAUUAUUAAUUGAAUAAAUUUAAAUAAAAAAUUUAAUAAUAAAAAAAAUUUAAAUUGGUUUGUGUGCAACAUAAAUUUUUGUAAAAACUUAUUAAUAAUUAAAUUAUUUUAUAAAANGUGUGCAACAUAAAUUUUUGUAAAAACUUAUUAAUAAUUAAAUUAUUUUAUAAAAACAUGUGUGAAAAAAAAGAGAGAAAACUAUUACAAUAAUUUUAAAAAAAAAUAUAUAAAUUUAAAAUUUAGAAAAUUUUAUAGAUAUAUUAACUGUUUGUUAUUAGUUAUUUAAUUUUAUUCAUAGAAAAAUAAUUAUAAUUAUUGAAUUUGGCCAUCUUUUGUAUGAAAUUUAAUAAACAUUUUGUCUAGUUAACAAAAAUUAAUCAUAAAAUAUUUUUUAAAAAAUCAGUUAAAAAAAAAUUUGAGGGGCCUAUUUCAAAGAAUCCUAAUAGUUGAGGGGUCUAUUGUCAUAUAAGUUGCAUGAGUGUUUUUUCCAAAGUAGGUAGAUGUGUAGGUCACUAUACAGUAUAUUUGUUUGAAAUUCUAAAAUAGUUUUUCUUUUUUCCCAGAUUGAUAGACCUUUAAGCUAAGAAAAUUUUAUGCAACCCUUUAUAUUAUGGAAUGCAUGGUUGAUUUGUUUAUGUUUCAAUAAAGGCUUGCGCUUAUCUUGCCUUCAAAUUAGGAGCUCUAUCAAAUUUAUAAUCAAGCAGAGCUGAUUGCAGAACAGAAAAUAUGAAAGCAUCGGUGAAUUUCUGUUUCGGCAAGUUCACCUUUUAGGUAGUAAUUGCUUGAUGAAGUUCAAAGUAGUUCAUUGUUACGUUUUAUAUAUUUAUUUUCUCUUCAGUUUCUUUACUAUGAUAUUCUGAUACUAUGUUUGAUAACAGAUUUAUCAGCUUGCUUUCUUCUGCAGUUGGCUUCAGUGGACAAAGUAUGAGGGAGCUCUUUCUGUACCAAUUCGAUCUAUUUCUACCUUUUUUUUGUUCGCACCUGUUGUUGCUAGUAUAAUAGCUGUACUACUAAAAUAUUAAAAAAAUAAUGUAGUGGAAGUGAUUUGCAAGUUGUAAUACUAAACAGAAAAACCGAAAGAUCUCCAAACGAAGUUGUGCUGUAUUGUUAAUUUAGACAUUUUGAUUUACAAUAAAUGCAAAAUUGAGAUGGUUCUUUGUUCUCUUUCUCAAUUGAGCUCAUUGUUUGCAAACAUCUCAUGUCCUGCUCGAAACUUAGCAAGGGCUCCAGUUCUAAAAGCUAAAGUGAGUUUACAAUAAAUAUGUGAUGUUGUGUUUGAAGAGGAUAGUGCUAAUAACCUUAGCAAUCUUUUACCUAAGGUAAGGUAUUCAUUCACAAGUAGGUCUGAGUUUGAUUCGAAAUUGAAUAAGCAAGCUCGAGCUUGGCUCAAUCAUAAACAAGCCGAAAAUGACCAAGCAAAAGUUUUUCAAUAAAUGCCCACAAUGUUAACAAGCAUAUAUACGAAGCAGAAUUUCCUUCUUUACAACACCAAAAUCAUAAAACCAAAAUGCUUAGUAAUAGAGAGAGAGGGGGAAAAAAAAAAAAAAACAAAACAAAGCACCUAUAACGCCGCAUCAGGAUUUGUCGACAAAGAUUGUAUAAGAGCACUCCUAUCCUGCUAGCUAGCAAGGAAUAUUUAUAGGAGCCAAAAAAAAAAAUCAUAAGUAUGAUUGAUUUAAAAGUAUGAAGACUCAGCAACACUUAUGUAUUCUGCAGAUUAUUGAUAUAAACUAAGCCAUCAACAUUUUAAGCGUAGUCGUAUGUAAGAUCCAUUGUAAGGAGGAAACUUAAAAAGUGAAUGUAUCCUUCAGAAAUUAAUGUUUGAUAUAUAUUAAUUAACAAGCUAUGUGCCAAUAUUUACACCAUGUUGCACUCAAGAAUUGCAACGCGUUUGUCCCAUCGUAGAGCGUCCAAUUUCUACAAAUUAUAUUUUUAUGGUUUGGUUAAACUGUGCUGUCAUGUAAGCGUUUGUACAAUAUGAUUAAAUUUUAUUCUAGCCCUCAAACAUUUAAGCGUGAUAUUUUAAAACUUGGAAGGUUUAAAAAGCAAUUUACAACCCUGCUGCAGCUUCAGCUUCUGGAACUCCUCUUCGAGCUCGUCGUUCAAAGGCUUGGGCUCUGCUGCUUCUGCUGGUAAUUUCUUUCUUUCUCUCUCUCUCUCUCUCUCUCUCGUGAUGUGCUUGUUGGUCAACUCUGACGGAGACGAUAAUUGGGGCGUAGGACCUCGAAAACCCUAGAGAUCGGGGCGACGAAGGAUUGAGCGAAGUGGUUCUCCUUCGCUUUCGAUAUGGGAUUAGUGGAGGGAGUCGAUUGUAACAUUUCCAUCGAAAACAUCAUUCUCAAGAGUAUUAGUUUUCACCGACCGUCCAUAGUUAAAGUGGCACAGGAUUUGACUGUGGCAUCCGAGAUCUCAAAUUUGAAUCCUAGUUGAGUUAUAUUUCCAGUUCAGUUUAUUUAUAAAUAAAAUAAACGAAGUGGAUAGCAUGCUAUUUAUCUCUCAAAAAAUAAAAAGAGUAUUUGUUUUUCGGAAAAAAAAUUCGAAAAACAGAAACGAAAGUUAAAUUUUUCAGGAAAUCUGAUUUUAUUUUUUUAAACAAAAUUUUCUUUUUUUCUGGGAAACAGAAAAAAAAACUAUUUUUUUUAAAAUAUUGGAAAACUAAGCACUGAUAAGUAGCGUAAGUAGAUAUAGGUAAAUUACACGUUUAGUCCUAAAACUAUAUGUGGCUUGAUAUUUUUGUUCUCGAACUUAAUUUGUCUAAAUUUUUGACUUGCGUUAUGAAAUGCAUCCCACUUUAGCCCUCAAACUAUAGUUGUAAUUUUUUGAUCAAACUAUAAGGAAUGUGAUACCUUAGCUCUCGAGCUUUUUGAAUUAUUACAAUUGAGUCUUACAAUCUAAUACUUUUAAAUAAGUAUUGAUGAAUUACUAAUAUUGAAAUAAUAGUAUUUUAAUUAUCAUAGCAUCAUUAAGUACUAAAUAGGAUAUUACUAUAAUUUAGAAAGUUCAAAGGCUAAAAUCAUAUAUAAUUCGAACCAUAAAUUACAACUAAUUAAAGUUUAAGAAGUAAAGUGUCACGCAUCUCAUAUUCAAGUCAAAAAUUACAACAAAUUAAAGUUCGAGGCCCAAAGUAUCACACUGGUAGUAGUCUUAUGACCAAAAGUAUAAUUUACCUUCUUCUUCUUUUUUUUCGGUCAGCUUGGUGUAGGUACUGCCUAGAUCACAACGUAAGCCCCACGCACACUCCUGAAUCUGAAUAUUCUUGGACAUUUAUUAAGAUAAUAAUUAUUCAGAUAGGUAACAUGAUCUUCAACGUUGAUUUUGGCUGUUCAAAACUGUUGAUUUUUUUUUUUGAGAUUUAGUCCUACAUGAUUUUGGCUGUUCAAAACUGUUGGGUUAUCCUUUCGGUCAUUGAUUGUGUUCAUUUGAUCAUCUGAGGAAGAAGUAGAGAGCUAGCUACACGCGAAACAUGGCUUUGGCCUUGGUAGCUGAGUUUGCGGCGUCGGUCGUAAUCGAGAAGCUGAUCAGCACGGCCGUAUCCGACGUUUGGGAACGCUGCGCCGGGCCGAGCGCCAUGCAGGAGGAGGUCCAGAGGCUUCAGCAGGCUUUUCCGCGGAUUCAAACCAUUUUGGAUAUGGUCGAGAGGGGCCAGACUGUCGGCACGAAGCAAAACGACGUGCUGGACGCCUGGCUGUGGCAACUCAGAGACGCUGUCGAUCAGGCGGAGGACGUGCUCGAUGAGAUGGAGUACUACGAGCUGGAGAAGGCAGUGCAAGCUGGACAUAACAAGGUACUGUUGGGGUUAAAGUCUGGAAUUUGAUUUAAUUUUACAGAUUUUUUAUUAAAUCAACGAACAAAUAAAUAUUAAAUUAAAGACGAACUUAAAUUAAAAGAUAAAGUGUUUCGAAAAAUAGCUAGGUGAGACAUGUAAGAGUAACUUUAGUUCCUCUGCGUAUUUGUCUUCGGCUAGUUUCUCUAGUGACACAAUACCUUGGAUUAUUCCAAUCUUCUUAAUUGUCCGGUCUAAAGAAGUGCUUGAUUGAAUGUCAAUCCGGCUUUCAAAAUCUCAACUUUAGAAAAUAAGAUAUGAUAGAGUAAAAAAAAUAUUUUUAGUUAGAAUCUCCUAUAUAUCUCUCUUUUAUUGCUUUUAUUAUAAUAUAUAAAGUUAACAGUCAAAAGGACGUUGUAGGACGUUCCGCUACAGAGGAAUACACGAUCCCGCAUAUCGUGGAAAGCAUUGUAACCCGUUUUCCAAAUAGAGGAGACAGAGAGAAUACGUCGCGCAACUUCCUCAUAUUAAAUAUAUUGUAUUUAAAUUAAAUCUUUUAAUUAUCUAUUUGAUUGAAAUUAAAAUUUUAACUUAAACUAAUUCCAACAGGUACAACAAGGUACUGCACUCAACUUAAAAAGGAAGUUCGCUGAUUUUGCUAACAAUAUCUUUGGAAAUGACGACACCUUGAUGAGGUUGAGGGAGGCCGUGAAGGCGUUAGAUAAUGUUGCUGCUGCUAGUGAAACUUUACUUCAGCUUGUUUCGCAGCUAUACAAUUCGGAUGUUAAGCAUCAACAAGAAGAUGAGAUACGAAAUGCUCGUGAGACUAGCUCCUUUUUAACUGAGGAUACGAUUUGCGGUCGAGACACGGAGAAGGAAAGGAUAGUUGAAUGGUUAACGAAACCAACAAGCGAUGAGCCUGAGAAUACUUCUACCACUGUCGGAAAGGUCUCGGCUUUUGCGAUCGUUGGCAUGGGUGGGUUGGGAAAAACUACUCUUGCGCAGUUCAUCUACCACGAUGAAAAGGUGGGGGAGUUCUUCGACUUGGUUAUGUGGGUGUGUGUUUCCGAUCAAUUUGAUGUGACCAUGCUGACAAGAAAGAUCUUGGAAGCGGCAAAGGUAUGGGAUAGCCUUGGAGACAAGAGACUUAAUACAAUUCAAGAGAUUCUUAAAGAGAAGCUGAUCUCAAAGAAGUUUCUUCUUGUGCUAGACGAUGUUUGGAAUGAUGAUAAAAUACUUGAAUGGGAUAAAUUGAUGGCUCCUUUAAAAUUCGGAAGGAAAGGAAGCAAGAUUCUCUUGACAACGCGAAUGAAUUCAGUGGCGAAUAUAGUAGCCAGAGUUCUACGAGGUAAAAAAGAAUCUUUAAAAUUGAGUGGGUUAAAAGAAGAUGAUUUUAUACUGCUUUUCAAUAAGCAUGCAUUUUCCGGAGAGAACAUUGACAAUCACAAAAACUUACAAUUGAUCGGGCAGCAAAUAGCAAAGAAGCUUGGGGGAUGUCCGUUGGCAGCAAAAAUUUUGGGCGGAUGUCUGAACUCUUGGAUGGAUGAAAAAUAUUGGAGAAGAAUUUUGAAUGAAAAUUUUCUAAAUUUGCAAGAAAGUGAGGACAACAUUAGGGUGAUUCUAAGAUUGAGCUAUCAUCAUCUGCCAACAAGCUCGCAAAUCUGCUUUAGAUACUGCAGUAUAUUUCCCAAGGGUUAUGAGUUUGAAAAGAAUGAGCUUAUCCGUAUGUGGAUAGGUUCUGGGUUAAUCAAGCAACCAAUACAUGAAAAGCGAAGCUUAGAGGAUAUCGGAGAGGAGUAUUUAAAUCAUCUAGCAAGAAAAUCCCUUUUUGAUAUCACAAUAAUCAAGUAUGGUUCUGACCGUAAACGUCAUUAUGUCAUGCAUGAUCUGUUGCAUGAUCUAGCUCAGCUUGUCUCUUCAGGGGAAUGUUUGGGAAUUGAAGAUGAUGGUUCCAGAGAUAUCCCCGAAACAAUCCGCCACUUAUAUGUCAACAGGGUACCAGUCAACAAGGUAAAAGUAAACCGUGUCAACAGGGUAAACCCUCUUAUGAUCUCCCAUCUCAAGAACUUACGCACUCUUAUUAUUCAUUUAAACGAGAAUUUCACUGUAGUAGAUUUUAAUAAGGUUCUAAAAGAGUUAAAAAGCUUACGCUUUCUACGAGUGACUGCAGAUGACUAUAAGUUUCCAGAUGAAGUUGGUAAACUCAUUCACCUCCGCUACCUCUCCCUCGCUUCUUCUGUUGUCAGAGGAAAUGAGGUAUCUAUUCUACCUCAAUCUGUCUGUAGACUCUAUCACCUAGAAGUAAUGAAGCUUCCGGCAAUGACAAUAGAUGAUUCGACACUGGAUGGAAUGAGCAAUCUGGCUAAAUUGAGGCUGCUACAUACUCCUUAUCGUAUAAUGGACAAGAUUCCUUGGAUUGGCAAACUAACAUCACUCCAGGAGUUACAUAAUUUCCAUGUCCGUAAGGAGUGCGGCUACAAGAUAGAUCAAUUAAAAGACCUGCAAAACCUCCGAAAACUACGCAUUAGGGGUCUGGAAAAUGUAAGGAGUUCCGAAGAGGCUGGGGAUGCCAACUUGAUUGAGAAAAAAAAUCUUGAUAAAUUGUCACUCUUUUGGUCUAAGAACCGUCGUGCUGAUCUAGAGGUAGAUGAGCCACUUCUUGAUAACUUAAGACCACAUACCAAUCUCAAGGAAUUAGAAAUUGAAGGAUACGCCGGAGUUAGAUCUCCAUAUUGGAUGACGGCGACAUCUCUUUCUAAUGUAACGAAUAUCAAUCUAUACAAUUGUAGCAGAUGGGAGAACCUCACACCUUUUGGGCAACUUCCUUUGCUCAAGCUUCUUAAUUUACAAAGCAUGCGGGCUGUAAAGAAAUUAUGGCGCUCAAUAAGUGUUGGCGGUUGCGCCUUUCCAUCGCUGGAGGAGCUACGAUUGAUUGACAUGCCGGACUUGGAGUUGUUCGAAGGCGAGCACAUGUUUCCUCGGCUUAACAAAUUGCUUAUAUCUUCUUGUCCUAACUUGAAGGGUUUGCCUGCUUUGCCUCUUACUCUAAAUCAACUGGAAAUUCUGGCGGUCGGAUUGACUUCUCUUCCGACGAUGCAACAAGACUGCAGUAGCGGCGAAGGACGAGCAUCGUGCUCAUCAUCAUCGCAUCCGACACUUUCUAAACUAAGCAUUUGUGAGUGCCCAAACCUCACAUCUCUAGAUGGAUUCAUGUUGCAGCAACAAUAUUUUCCAGCCUUGAAGAGUUUAUCCAUUGAAGAAUGUGAAAAUCUAAGGCAUUUGCCGGGAAAAUUCUUCCGAAAACUUCCCUCCCUCGAGGGUUUGGUUAUACAAAUGUGCCCCAAUCUCACGACGCACGGGACGAUUCUAGACGAUCGACGAUUGCCCGAGACACUUGAAAGGCCCACUGUUGUAUCAAGCGGCGAUCUCGAUCUGUCGCUACUCGAGGAGUCAUUGCCAAUACUGACCUCUCUAGUCACCUUGUCCCUUAAUGGUUGCGCGAGCGUGACAUCCCUUCCUCCGGCGGAAGUUUUUCCAAGGUUGUCGAAAGUCUACAUCUGGAACUGUGAAGAACUGUCGUCAUUGGACGGGCUACAAUCUUGCCCCUCGCUUGAAUCCUUGUCCAUUGGUGGCUGCGCAAGCAUGGCGUCCCUUCCUCCGGCGGAAGUUUAUCCAAGGUUGUCGGAACUCCACAUCUGGAACUGUAAGGAGCUGUCGUCACUGGAUGGGCUACGAGCGCUCCCCUCGCUCAAAUCCUUGUGGAUUGGAGGAUGCGACGCGCUCGUCGAGCUUUCACUGUUGCAACCACCGUUAGGCCUCACCAGUACCAGUCCCACAGAUAUGGAGCUUCCUCAUCUUCAAAUCGACCGGCAAGCUCUGUUGCGUCUCGAACCACUGAGAAACCUCAGCUCUGUUAGCUCACUCACCAUAACUGAUGAUACCGAACUCACAUCCCUCGACGAGCAAUGGCUGUUGCAAAACCGAUACUCCCUCCGAAGCUUUGCAAUUCUCAAGGCCUUGUCUCUUGAAUCCUUACCAACCAGUAUGAUGGAUCUUCAAGCCCUGUGUGAAUUGUCUAUUUAUGACGCUCCUUUGCUUCGGACGAUUCCGGAGCUGCCCACCUCAGUGACAUUUCUAAGAAUUACCGGCUGUCUCCCCGAAUUGAAGGACUACAUUGAAGGCUCUGGAAAAUUCGCCAGUAUUCGUUGUUUGCAGGUUGGUCAAAAAUUUCCUUAAGAAAAAGCUUGGGUAAAUGCACUUUUUCUUUCCAAUAUUAUUUGCAUCUUAGGCUUCUCUGGCCCUGCUUUUUUUCUUUUUUUUUUUUUUAAUCCACUACUUCCAGCAACAAACAGACGCUAAUAGAGCAUUCGACAUAUAAUUAACCCUAUAAUAUAUAUAGUGUUGAGCUACUAUACUAUCGAAAGAAUAAAAUAAUUGGUGCUUUCGAUUUUUUAGCAUUCGACAUAUAAUGUAUAGAGUAGAGCUACUAUGCUAUCGGAAGUAUAGAGGAUUUGGUGACUCCGAUUUUUAGCCCUUAGAUCAACCUUUUAAUUAUUUCUAAUGUUUGGAUUAAUACUAUUAAUCUGUGGGGACCACUCAACUCUAAGGAUACUACUCAACUCUGGGGGGAUCGCAAUCAUCCCAACCGUAUACUUUUUUAAAACAAUGGUCAAAAAGUUGAAAACAUCAUAUCCUCUAUACUUCCGAUAAUAUAGUAUCUCUACACUAAUAUAUAUAUAUAUAGAGUGCGUCUGGUAUGCUUAUAGAAGCACCGAGCGCUCCGUGCUUCCACUUUGUUUUCGAUGUUCAGACUUUCGAAUCGAAGAUCGGCUCCGUUAGACUCAAUCUAGAGUAUUUGAAGUAUCUAGAAAAUAAAUUUUGCGAUUUUUCGAUAUCAUUUGCCUAGUGAUCGAAGUGGCUCAAAAUCAACGGCUGAAAAUAAAAAUCUUACAAAAUAUGAUGAUAUGACAUUAAAAUUUUAGAUCAAUGUUAUUGAUCUUGUUUUAUAUGGUAUAAAGAAUUUUCUAUCAAAAUUUCAUGCGAUUUGGAUAUUUCUACACCGUUAAACUUGCAACCGGCUCACCACGGCCAUUAAAAUUAUUGAUUUUGAGCCCCUUCGAUCACUAGGCAAAUGAUAUUGAAAAAUCACAAAAUUUAUUUUUUAGGUACUUCAAAUACUCUAGAUCAACUCUAACAGAGCCGAUCGUUGAUUCGAAAGUCCGAACAUCGAAAACAAAGUGGGAGCACAGAGGGCUCCGUGCUUCCAUAAGCAUACCAGCCUACUCUCUAUAUAUAUAUAUAUAUGUGUGUGUGUGUGUGUGUGUGUUAGAAAAGUAUAUUUUUUAUACUAUUUAUUACCUUAAUUAUCAAUUAAAUAGAUAAUAAUAAAAAUAAUUUAAUCAGUUUAUGUGCAACAUAAAAUUUUGUGAAAACUAAUUAAUAAUUAAAUUAUUUUAUAAAGACGUGUGAAAAAAAAAGAGAGAAAACUAUUAAAUAAUUUUUAAAAAUUAUAUGAAUUUAAAAUUUAGAAAAUUUAAUAGAUAUAUUAAUUGUUUGUUAUUAGUUAUUUAAUUUAUUUCAUAUAAAAUUAUAUUAAAAAAUCAGUUAAAAGCCUAUUUCAAAGCAUCCUAUUAGUUGAGGGGUCUCCACACAAAAUUUUUUUGGUGCAAAUGUAUAGAGACUUUCUAAAUUUUUAGUUUUAGGCUUAAGUAAUUUUAUCAAAACUUUAUGAAUCUUUAUAAAAUUUAUUAGUAAUUUUACCAUAUUUAAUAAUUUUAAUUAUCUUUGGUUAUUUUAAUUAACUCAUUAGUAAAUUCAUCAGAUUUAAUAAUUUUAAUUAUCUUUUAUCAUUUUAAUUUAACGAAGUAUAAAAAUUAAGAUUAAAAAAGAAAUUAAAAUUUUUUUUUUUUUUUGAGAGAUAGGUAGCAUGCUACCCGCUUCGUUUAUUUCAUUUAGAAAUAAACUUAGCUGGAAAUGUAAAUCAACGAGGAUUCGAACUUGGGUCUCGGGUACCAACCACCAAGCCCUUUGCCACUUGCUCUAGGGAUGGUCGGUAAAACCCUGAUAAUUUUAAUACAGAGGCUUUCUAUAUAGUAUAGAUCGCCUUUAUAAAAUUAGUUUUAAUUUUAUAAUAUUAAUUAUUAAAAAUUAGAGUCUACGUAUGUAAUAUUUAUGGCAAUUUUUUUAUAGUUGAGGAGGGGGUUGGGAGGAGAAAUCAUUCUGUGCACCGGGUGUAUACUUAUAUCUUAUACACCGUGUUAAUAUCUCUAUUGUUUAUAAUAUUUUGUACAUAAAUUUUUUUAUAUGGUGUAUCUAUUAAAGAGUAUUUUGGUUUUAAAAUAUUAAUAAUUAAAAAAAUAGGUUUGAUGCAUGUGAUAGUUAAUAGGUAGCUUACUUGUCCCCUCAUGUUAAUUUAGUCAUUUUGAUUUAUAUAUAUAUUUUUUGAUUAAAUAGGGAUAUACCCUAUUUUAGAAAGCAAAGUAGACCUCGGACUGCGGUCUUAGAUGCAUACAUAGACUCGAGGGAGCGAGAAAGAAGAAAGAAGAAGCGCUACGGGAUUAGAUCAAAAUCAACUCUGGAACACAGAUUUCCAUAGUUCCGCUGAGUACAGAAACACUUCUUCUCAGGGUGUUGCUUUGGUAAGGACGAUCGUUGAAAAUUCUCUUGCUCCUCUCAUUCUACAGUUCCCAGCAGGCUGCUGCAAAACAAAAGUCAAAGUUAGUUUUAGAUAUUCCAGACAUCUUGCUUCUCAUUUGGCUCCACCGGUCUGCUAAAUUUCCAAAGAGGGAGGUCGCGAACUGUUGUGUAGUUGUGAAAUUGUGAAGCAGCCAAUUCCACAAAGAUCUUGCAUAAGUGCAGUGGAAUAAAAUAUGAUCCAGAGUUUCCGCGUAACGCAGAUAGAUGGCCCGUUCCAACCCCUUUUCUAGAGAAUUUCUACGGUAAGAACUUUAUUUCUUGCGGCUAGCCACAUGAAGAUUUUGAUUCUGAGGGGAAUCCUUAUUUUCCAAAGGAAAGAAAAUUUUGAGUCGUUUAUUCCGUCAUAUGUUAGGAAGUUGUAGGCGCUCUGAGCCGAAAGUAGUCCUGAAUUAGUCCAUCGCCAUGAUAAAUGUAAGAUUGAGAUUUAUGAUAAAUGUAAGAUUGAGAUUUUUUUUCUUUCUUUCUCAAUUGAGCUCAUUGCUCGCAUGCAUCUCUUGUCCUGCUCGCAACUUAGCAAGGUGUCAUGUUCUUAUGCUUUUUACCGGCAAACGGCCGUGCAGCGCUCGUCUUAUUCCUCAAAGAUGGCAAGCUUGCCUCAAUCUUGCUAGCUUUGGAUCUACUUAUUUUAAACCUAAGGUGCAUGAAAAAGAGAUAUACUUUCGAAAACAUUAAACUUACCAGGUGGUGCUUUCGAUUUGUAGAAAUUAUAUUACUUAGGGAUCGUUUGAUUAGAUGUAAUUAUAAAUACAGUGUAGUUAGAGAUGCAUGCAGUUGAAAAUAUAGCAGUUAUAAUUACAUGCAUUAUAUUUUGUUGGAUGUAGUAAAAAACGCUACAAUUACAAAUAAUUAUUUGGUUGCAUGCAAUUGAGAAAUAAUUUUUAAAAUUUUAUCAUUAUAUAUAUAUAUAUGAUGAUGAGAUUACUUCUAAUGCAAAAAAAAAUUUAAGAGGUAAGAUUACCUUUUGUUUAAAUUUACUUUCUUCAACUGCUGCAGUUGGAACUGCGGCCAAUUUGGGCGUAGUUUCAACUGCUACAGUUGGACCUCCUCCUGCAAUUCCUACUGCAGUAGUUGGAGUUAAAUAUAUAAACUUAACACCAAAUUUGUAUUUGCAUGCAGUUACAAUUGCCGACAUGCAACCAAACGGCCUCUUAGAGAAAUAUAGAGUACAAUAUUCUCAAAGUCCUGAGCUUGUGAAAAAUCUAAAACUCCUUAUUCAUAGAUUUAUUGUCAUUAUUACAAAUAAAAAUUUACUAUUCAUUGCUUCUAUAGAAUCGCCCCGUUUUGUUCGGAGGAUAAGCGGGGAUAACGAAAGUUAUCCCCGCUAUUCCGCCAAACGGAAAAAUUUAUUGCCGGGAUAUUUUAUUCCGGUCAAAUCUUGCUAUUCUCGGUUAUCUCAGAAUAGCAAAAGAUUUGCUAUUCCAACAUUUUGAUGGAAUAGUGCUAUUUCAAUACAUAGUUUCAAACUUAAUUAAAAUUAUAAAUUGAAUUAAAAUUAAAUUAUAUAAAUAUAAUAUAUUAUAUAUUAUAAUACAUUAUUUUUAUUAUAAAAUUAUUAAUUGUACUAUGUUAAUAAAUAUUAUUUAUAUUUAAAUAUUAUAAUAAAUUUUACAAUAAAUUAUAUUUAAAUAUUAUAAUAAAUUCUUUUUAUUAAAUUUAAGUUUAAGUAUAAUUUUAAAAAAAAUUAUAAAUUUAUUAUAAUAAAUUAUUUUUAUUAAUUGUUCCCACCCCUAUUCUUAUUUUAAAAUUUUAAAAAUUAAAAAUUUAAAAUUUUAAAAUUUAUAAUUUAUAAUCUCAAAAUUAAAGUUUAUAAUUUUAAAUUUUAAACUUUAAAUUUUGAUAUUUUAAAUUUUUAAAAUUUUAAAUUUUAUAUUUUAUAUUUUUCAAAUUUAAAUUUGAUUUUAAAUUUAAAGUUUGAAUUUUAAAAUUUAAAAUUUUGAAUUUAAAAUUUGAGAUUUUAAAUUUCAAAUUUUAAAAUUUCAAAAUUUAAAUUUUAAAUUUAAAAAUAUAAAUUUAAAAUUUUAAAAUUUUAAAUUCAAAUAUAAUAAAAGAGUAAUAUCAUUAUUUUUUAUUUAUAAAAGCUCACUAUCCUUCGUAUUCCAUCUUACUUAACCAAACGCUAUUUUUUUUAUUCUCAGAAAUAACCCAAUUUUCAUCCAAAUGCAAAAUUGAUCUAAUCCCCGCUUAUACCUCAAUUUAUACCUAUCCCUGAAAUAGCCACUUUUUGCUUAUCCCCGAACCAAACGAUACUAAGUGGCUUCUAGGCUUUCGUCUGUAGCUCCUAGGUUUACUGUCUAUAUUUAUUCUUAGAAAAUCUUUGAGUUGCCCAUGAUGCUUCAGCUCCCUUUCCGCAUGUUGUAACUUUGGCUCCCAAAAUAGCUGCUGAAAGAUUUUUUUUUUUUGAGAAUAAGGUACUGCUUCAUUCAAUUAGAAGAUAAAUUCGGCUAUAAAUUGAGGCAGUCAAAAACGAUCCCAAGAAUCCUUGAGAGUUCGGCUCUUUGUAAGCACACAACCUAGUGCAUGUUUAGAUUUUUCAAAAAUUCUUCUGUUAUGCUCUAACCAGAUAACCCAUCAUGUGGCAGUGAUGGUCGCCAACUCUCUAUUCACCCGUGCACUUCUUUUGAGGCUACUCGCUUCCCAAAUCUCCAUUGAGGAUGAGCAAUUACUAAGAAAGAGUUGUUUGGAAGUAAUCCUUUUAGCAUAGCUGUAGCCUGAGGGUAGCUGGAGAAGAGAUGAUCCACCAUCUCUUUCUCUUCCAGACAUGAAACACCAUUCUCGUCCCCACUCUAACCCCUUUUUAGAAGGUUGUCCACAAUGAGCACCCUUUUUCAACGCUAACCACAUGAGAGUCUUGACUUCGAGGGGAGAUCUAAUCUUCCACAAGUGUGCAAAGCUCUUAGCUCUAACUCCACCAUCCUGAUGAAAAUUGUAUACUAAUUUGACCGAGAACUUUUCGAAGCAGGUCCAUCUCUAUCUUAUGACAUCCUGUGUAGUAUAUAGACAGAUCUCAUAAAUUUACUCCAUUAGAGUCAAAAGUUAGUCACUUUCUAGCUAAGGGUGAAUUCUGACAAAAUCUUACGCCAACUCCAACCGUUCCCGUCCCAACAAUCCUUCACUCUGUAAUUUCUACAUGUGAUUUUCUCGAAGAUACAUGGGUAUAAAGUUCGCAAUGAGGCUCGUUCAUACCAGAUGUCAGUUCAGAAAUUUAUGAUCUGUCCAUCCGCAAUUGACUAAGACACUCCACAUUGAAAAAUCUCCUUGGUCGCUAGAACGCUCCUCUACCAGAACGAGCGGGGUUUGAACGAUACACCUUCCGCAAGCGGUUUCCUCCGUAUAUAAUAUACUCCGUCAAUCAGUGCACUCCACAGAUGAUUUCUUUCAGAGAAAAACUUCCAUCACCAUUUGGGCAAUGAACUUACCCUUGCUACUGAACGAAUUUUAAAUUAUACUCUUUUGAAUUUGUGUCACUAUCAAAGACAGACGAACAAUAGAUCUUACGAUGUGCGUGGCAAGAGACUCCAGAUCUAAAAGCUAAAGUGAGUUUAUAAUAAAUAUGGAAUGUUGCAUUUGAAGAAGAUAAUGUGUUAAUUAUAAGUGAUAGUCUGUUAAUAAACAAGCCGAGCAUGACCAAGCAAAAAUUUUUUAAGAAAUGCCCACAAAGUUACAAGCAUACCACAACAAAAACACAUAACAAAAAGCUUAGAGAGAGAGAGAGAGAGAGAGAGAGAGAGAGAGAGAGCUACACCUUUUCCCAAUACAACACUUAACACAAUUUAGGCCAUGUUUGGUUCUAUACAAAAAUAAGCUGAAAACAAAUUUUCAGUUGAAAAAUAGUUUUCAAGUGUUUGGUUGGGUGUCAAAUAAUUUUUCAGGGAAAUCUAGUUUUACAUAUUUGGAGAAAACCCUCCAUUUGUUUUCCGCAGGCGAGCGACGAAAAACGAAAAGCGCGAAAGAAAAAGCACGGCUCAUGACCACGCUUUUGCGCGGUCCACGAGGUCCGCAUCACCUCGUGGACCGCGUGAGGCAAGGAGAUAUAUAUAUAUAUAUAUAUAUAUAUAUAUAUAUAUAUAUAUAUAUAUAUAUAUUCACCCCGUCUGGAGAGGAGUGCGCCAGGUGCUCCACCUCGCCUGGAGCACCUGGCGCGGAAAAAAAGAGAGGCGCAGCACGAGUUGCGGCACGUUCCAGGUAGAGGGGCGCAACACGCGUUACGACACACUCCAGGUAGCUAGUACGUNNNNNNNNNNNNNNNNNNNNNNNNNNNNNNNNNNNNNNNNNNNNNNNNNNNNNNNNNNNNNNNNNNNNNNNNNNNNNNNNNNNNNNNNNNNNNNNNNNNNNNNNNNNNNNNNNNNNNNNNNNNNNNNNNNNNNNNNNNNNNNNNNNNNNNNNNNNNNNNNNNNNNNNNNNNNNNNNNNNNNNNNNNNNNNNNNNNNNNNNNNNNNNNNNNNNNNNNNNNNNNNNNNNNNNNNNNNNNNNNNNNNNNNNNNNNNNNNNNNNNNNNNNNNNNNNNNNNNNNNNNNNNNNNNNNNNNNNNNNNNNNNNNNNNNNNNNNNNNNNNNNNNNNNNNNNNNNNNNNNNNNNNNNNNNNNNNNNNNNNNNNNNNNNNNNNNNNNNNNNNNNNNNNNNNNNNNNNNNNNNNNNNNNNNNNNNNNNNNNNNNNNNNNNNNNNNNNNNNNNNNNNNNNNNNNNNNNNNNNNNNNNNNNNNNNNNNNNNNNNNNNNNNNNNNNNNNNNNNNNNNNNNNNNNNNNNNNNNNNNNNNNNNNNNNNNNNNNNNNNNNNNNNNNNNNNNNNNNNNNNNNNNNNNNNNNNNNNNNNNNNNNNNNNNNNNNNNNNNNNNNNNNNNNNNNNNNNNNNNNNNNNNNNNNNNNNNNNNNNNNNNNNNNNNNNNNNNNNNNNNNNNNNNNNNNNNNNNNNNNNNNNNNNNNNNNNNNNNNNNNNNNNNNNNNNNNNNNNNNNNNNNNNNNNNNNNNNNNNNNNNNNNNNNNNNNNNNNNNNNNNNNNNNNNNNNNNNNNAAUAUAAAAUUAAGCUUUUAAAAAAUUUAAGAAAAAAUAGAGAUAGAUAUUAUAUUAUAGAUGUGAUAGAUAUGAUAUAUAUUUUAGUACAUAAAAUUUAAAGAUAUGAUAUUAUAUUAUUCACAAUAGAUAUUCUCCUGUUGGCAAAUUUUUUUUCUGUUGUAGAAAUAAAGAGGGAUUAAAAGUUGUUUAAUUCUGUUAUUUUUUUACGUACGGAAAGAGGAAUCAAGUUGUUUUUCAAAUCCCGCUAAAAAAUGGGUCUAUCGACAGACCGAAAUUUGAAAUACGUGCUUUUAUAUAUAGUAUAGAUAUAUAUAGAGUCCGGCUACUAUGCUAUUAAUAGUACGAAACAUUUGGUGCUACUAAGUUUUCCGCCGUUAGAUCUACCCUUUUGAUCAUUUUCACCCGUUAGAUCAUACUAUUCAACCAACCACUCACUCAGCCGUAGGGGGCCACAUCAUUCUAACCGCACAUCUCUUAAUCCAAUGGCCAAAAACUUGGUAGCACCAAUGACUUGGUGCUAUUAAUAGUAUAUUAGCCUAGUUCUCUCUCUCUCUCUCUCUCUCUCUCUCUCUCUCUCUCUCUCUCUCUCUAUAUAUAUAUAUAGAGCAGGGCUGUUGUGCUCCCAGGAGCACGAAGGCCUCCGUGCUCCUGAGCCAUUUUCGAUGAUAAAAUUUUCGAAUCGACGAUCGACUCCGUUAGACUUGAUCUAGCGUAUUUAAAGUUUCUGAAAAAUAAUUUUUGCGAUUUUUCGAUAUCAUUUACCUAGCAAUCGAAAGGAUUCAAAAUCAAUAAUUUUAACGGCUGAAAAUAAAAAUCCUAUAAAAAGUGGUGAUAUAGCACUAAAAUUUUCGAUCAGAAAUAUUGAUCUUGUUAUAGAUAGUAUAAAAAAUUUUGUAUUAAAAUUUCAUAUGAUUUGAAUACUUCUACACUGUUAAACUUGAAAACAGCAGAUAUCAACCAUUAAAAAUUAUGGAUUUUGAAUCCUUUCGAUCACUAGGUAAAUGAUAUAAAAAAAUCACAAAAAUUAUUUUCUAGAAAUUUCAAAUGCGCUAGAUCAAGUCUAAUNAGUCCGGCUACUAUACUCUUAUGAGUACGAUUGCCCUCGUACUUAUAAAUCAUUUUCGAUGGUAGAGCUUCCAAAUCGACGAUUCAUAUCGUUAAACGUUAUUUACAACAUUAAAAACUUAUAGAAAUCAAAUUUUAUAAUUUUUUAACAUCAUUUACCUUACGAUCAAAAGGUCACAAAAUUGAUAAUUUUAACGGCCGGUAUGGAAUACUUUCUAGUUUAACGGUGUAAAAGAAUUGGAAUUUGUUGAAUUUUUGAUAAAAAAUUCUAUUCACUACCAAGAUAAUGAUCAAUAAUUUCGAUCUUAAAUUGAAGGAUACGAUCAUCUAUUUUUAGGACGUCGUUCAAUUUUGACCGUUUAUUUUAUGCUUGCUUGAUGAAUUUUAUUAUGAUUUUGAAAAUUUACGAAAUUUAUUUUUUAGAAGUUUCAAAUACUCUAGAUCAUAUUUAACGGAGUGGAUUGUCGAUUCGGAAGCUCCAUUAUCAAAAACAACUUAUGAGUACGGGGGCUCCAAUACUCAUAAUAGAAUAAUAGCCACGGCCUAUAUAUAUAAUAAUUUUUUAUUUAUAACUUUUUUUUUUCUUUUCUUUUCAACCAAACAAUCGUAACGAAAAAUUACUUUUCUUUUCCUAUAAACCAAACGCUAAAACGUAAAAUUUAUUUUCCUCCAAAAAUUUUGUUUCCACCGAAAUUUUUUUUUUCUGUAGUUUUACGAGGAACCAGACAGCCCCUUAUACUGGCCAAGGAAGGAAGAAUGUUCGCUGUAAAUAAAGUUUUGCCCUUUUCGUUGCCCUUUGUUGGUCAUCUGAAGAUAACCAUGUUGUUACCUUCCCUCCGGCACCGGACCUCGAGUCGAGGGUGCGCCCAGCACCCGCGUAUCCGCGCACCACGUCGACCAUGGAUUGCGUCUGUCAGGCACCAACAUCAAGGUUAAUUUUGAUUUUUAAAUUUUAAAUUUAAAUUUUAAAUUUUAAAUAUUCAAAUAUUAGAUUUUAAAUUUGAAAUUAAAAAUUGAGAUUUCGAUUUUAAAUUUUAAAUUUUUUAAUUUAUAUUUUAAAUUGAAGUAUCAAAUUUUAAUUUUAAAUUCAAAUUUAAAUUUAAAUUUAAAUUUAAAUUUGAAUUUAAAAUUUAAAUUUAAACUCAAAUUUAAAUUUAAAUUUAAAUUUUAAAUUUUAAAAAAUUUUAAAAUAAAAUUCAGUAAAAUAUUAUUAUUUGCAAAUAGUGAAAUUUUUUUGCUAAACAGAUUUAAUUCAUAAAAAUUACUUCUUAUAUAAACUCAGUCAAACACUUCACACCUUGGAACCAAAAUUAAAAUUUUAAAUUAAGAAAUCAUUUUUCUACAAUCUAUAGGCCAAACGAGCUAUAAAAUAGUCAUUGAGAUGGGCAAUAUGAAUCUAAACGUUUCCACGCGGUGGAAAAGUUUAUAUUGUGACUUGCCGAGGGGAAAAUCUAUUGUGUAAUAUUAACACCACAUUAUCUAUUCCAGUCAAUCAUAUCUUUUCUUUGGAGACAAAAAAUAUAAUACAAAUAUUUUUUCAAAAAAAAUUACUAUGGAAUGAAUGAAUUUUAGAAAAACUUUUUGACUGACUCAUGACACCACAUCACCCACAUAAAUGUUGUAUUCCAGAAUUUUUCGUUGCUGAGAGGCUUUGUGAAAAGUAAAAACUCUUAAAUUAUUGGCUGUUCAAUACUGCCAGGUCAACCCUUUCGGUCAUUGAUAGCUAAAGCCACGACAAAUAAGCUUCGGUUUGAUUGUGAGUUCCUGGGAUGGUCCGCACGGUGGAAACGUUUACAUUGUGAGUUGCUGAGAGGGUUUGUAAAAACUCUUACGUUUACGUUAUUGGCUUUUCAAUAUUGCCGGGUCAACCCUUUCUAGCUAAACCCACGACAAAUAAGCUUCGGUUUGAUUGAGGCUUCACUUUCCUAUCUUCUUUAAUUUUGUGUUCAUCUGAUCAUUUGAGGAAGAGCUAGAGCACUCGGUAUACGUUAAACAUGGCAUUGGCCUUGGUAGCUGAAUCCGCGGCGUCGAUCGUAAUCGAGAAGGUGAUCAACACAGCCUUAUCCUACGACGAGGAGUGCGGCGGGCCGAGUAACAUGCAGGACGAGAUCCAGAGGCUUCAGCAGGCCCUUCCGCAGAUCCAAGCGAUCUCGGCCGCCGUCGAGGGGAUGCAGAAUGUCAGUACUGAGCAAAACAAGGUGCUGGACGCGUGGCUGUGGCAGCUCAGAGAUGCCGCUGAGCGAGCAGAGGACGUGUUCGAUGAGCUGGAGUACUACAAGCUGGAGAAGAGAGUGCAAGCGCGCGGCGGUAGUGUACUCAACUUUAAACGGAAGUUUACUGAUUUUGCUAAGAAUAUGUUCGGAAAUGACACCUUGAACAGGUUGAGGGAGGCCGUGAAGGCGUUAGAUAAGGUUGCAGCAACUGUAGGACCUUUCCUGCAGCUCGCUUCGCAACUGUACGAUUCGAAUGUUAGGUGUCGACAAGAAGACGAGCUACGAAAUGCUCGCGCGACUAGCUCCUUUUUAACUGAGAGCAUUAUUUACGGUCGAGACGAGGAGAGGGACGUGAUAGUUGGAUGGUUAACUAAACCGACACGUGACAAGCUGGAGAAUACCUCUGCUGCUGCAGGAAAUGUCUCGGUUUUUGCGAUCGUCGGGAUGGGUGGGAUGGGAAAAACUGCGCUCACGCAGUUCGUCUACCAUGAUAAAAGAGUACAACGGUGCUUCGACUUGGUUAUGUGGGUGUGCGUUUCUGAUAGAUUUGACGCGGCUAUGCUGACGGUAAAGAUCUUAGAAGCGGCGAUGGUUAGGGAUAGUCUUGGUGACAAGAGCCUUAACACGAUUCAAGAGAUUCUUAAAGAGAAGCUUAUCUCCAAGAAGUUUCUUCUUGUGCUGGAUGAUGUUUGGAAUGAUAAUAAAAUACUUGAAUGGGAUAAAUUGGUGGCUCCUUUAAAAUUCGGCAGAAAAGGAAGCAAGAUUCUCUUGACAACGCGAAUGGAUUCAGUGGCGAAUGCAGUAGCCAGAGUUCUACAAGGUAGAAAAGAAUCUUUAAAAUUGAGUGGGUUAAAAGAAGAUGAUUUUAUACUGCUUUUCAAUAAGCAUGCCUUUGCCGGAGCGAACAUUGACGACCACAGAAACUUAGAAUUGAUCGGUCAGCAAAUAGCAAAGAAGCUUGGGGGAUGCCCGCUGGCAGCAAAAAUUUUGGGAGGAUGUUUGAACUCUUGCAUGGAUGAAAAAUAUUGGAGGAGAAUUUUGAAUGAAAAUUUUCUGAAUUUGCAAGAAAGUGAGGACAACAUUAGGAUGAUUCUGAGAUUGAGCUAUCAGCAACUGCCGAUAAGCUCGCAAAUUUGCUUCAGAUACUGCAGUAUCUUUCCUAAGGAUCAUGAAUUCGAAAAGAAUGAGCUUAUCUAUUUGUGGAUAGGUUCUGGGUUGAUCAAGCAACCAACACAUGAAAAGCGAAGCCUAGAGGAUAUCGGAGAGGAGUACUUAAACCAUCUAGCAAGAAGAUCCCUUUUUGAUAUCAAAAUAAGUGAGGGAGCAUUUGGCCUUAAACAGAGUUAUGUCAUGCAUGAUCUGUUGCAUGAUCUAGCUCAAUUUGCCUCUUUAGGGGAAUGCUUGAGAAUCGAAGGUGAUGGUUCCAGAGAAAUUCCGAAAACGAUCCGCCACAUAUAUGUCAAAAGGGUAAACCCUCUUAUGAUCUCCCACCUGAAGAACUUACGCACCCUUUUUAUUCAUUUAAACAAGGACUAUGAUGUAAUAGUAUUUAAUGAGGUUCUAAAAAAGUUAAAAAGCUUACGUUUACUACAAGUGACUGCAGAUAACUAUAAGCUUCUGGAUGAAGUUGGUAACCUCAUUCACCUCCGCUACCUCUCUCUCACUCCAUGGAUCGACGAAGUAUUUAAGAGAUAUUCGCUACCUCAAUCUAUAUGUGGACUCCAAUCUGUGUGUAGACUCUAUCACCUCGAAGUAAUGAAGCUCCCAGCAACGAAAACUGAAAUAGAUGAUUCAGCGCUGGUUGGAAUGAGCAAUCUAGUUAAAUUGAGGAUGCUAGACAUUCCCGCUCGUGUAACAGCCAAGAUUCCUUGGAUCGGCAAAGUAACAUUACUGCAGAACUUAGAUUAUUUCUAUGUCCGCGAGGAGUGUAGCUACAAGAUCUGUCAAUUAAAAAACCUGCGAAAUCUUCGAAAACUAUGCAUUGAUGGUCUGCAAAAUGUAAGGAGUCCACAAGAGGCUAUAGAUGCCAACUUGAUUGAGAAAGAAAAUCUUGACAAAUUGUCACUAGUUUGGCCUAAGAAUCGCGCUGGUCGUUUAGAGGUAGAUGGGCCACUUCUUGAUAACUUAAAACCACACACCAAUCUCAAGGAACUGGAAAUUAAAGGAUACGCCGGAGUUAGAUCUCCGCAUUGGAUGACAGCGCCAUCUCUUUCUAACAUAACAUCUAUCAAUCUACACGAUUGUAAGAGAUGGGAGAACCUCUCACCUUUUGGGCAACUUCCUUUGCUCAAGUUUCUGUGUCUACGACAUAUGCCGGCUAUAAGGAAAUUAUCGUGUUCAAGUCGUGUUGGUGGUUGCGCCUUUCCAUCGCUGAAGGAGCUAAAAUUGUAUGACAUGCCAAACUUGGAGCUGUUCGAAGGCGAGCACCUGUUUCCUCACCUUAAUAAGUUUGAUAUUAGUUCUUGUCCUAGCUUGAAGGGUUUGCCUGCUUUGCCUCUUACUCUGAAUCAACUGGACAUUUGGACGGUCGGAAUGACAUCUCUUCCGAUGAUGCAACAAGAUUGCGGUCGUGGCGAAGGACGAGUAUCCUGCUCACCAUCACAUCCGGCACUUUCUUAUCUACGUAUUGGUAAGUGCCCAAACCUCACAUCUCUGGAUGGAUUCAUUUUGCAGCAACAAUAUUUUCCAGCCUUGGCGAGUUUAUCGAUUAAAGAAUGCAAAAAUCUAAGGCUUCUGCCGAAGUUCUUCUUCCAAAAACUUCCCUCCCUCAAGUAUUUGAUUACAGAAAUGUGUCCCAAUCUAACGACACACAGGAUUCUAGACAAUCGAUUCCCCGAGACACUUGAAAAGCUCACUCUUGAAUCUAGCGGUGAUCUCGGUUUGUCGCUGGUCGAGGCGCCAAUACUGGCCUUUCUGACUGACUUGAAGAUUGACGGUUGCGCGAGCAUAACAUCCUUUCCUCCGGCAGAAGUUUUGCCCAGGUUGAUGAAUCUCUACAUCCGGAAUUGUAAAGAACUGUCAUCAUUGGAUGGGCUACAUGCUCUCCCCUCGCUCGAAUCCUUGUACAUUGGAGGAUGCGACAAGCUCAUCGAACUUUCACUGAUGCAACCGCCAAUAGGCCUCGAUAUGGUGUCGCGCCCUUCAAUAGAGCUUCGCGCUCUUGAAAUCGACCAGCAAGCUCUGUUGCUCAUCGAACCACUGAGAAGCCUCAACUCUGUUUGCUCAUUCAUUAUACAGGAUGGUGCAGAACUCACAUCCUCUACCGAGACAUGGCUGCUGCAAAACCAAAACUCCCUUCAAAUUUUAAAGAUAUGUAAAGCUUUAUCUCUUCAAUCCUUUCCCCCUAUUCUGAUGCAUCUUCGAUCCCUGUGUGCUCUGAGCAUAUAUGAUGCUCCUUUGCUCCAGUCGAUUCCAGAACUGCCCGCCACAAUGGAAUUUCUAACAAUUACAGGUUGUCAACCUGAACUGAAGGAGUACAUAAAAGGCUCUGGAAAAUUUGCCAAUGUUCCUUAUGUGAGGAUCACUGAAGAUUGAGUAUGUCACAUCUCUUUACUACUAUCUCUAACUCCCAGCAUAAUUUCUCGGUCAAAUCUCUCUACAACUUCUUAAAGGACGGAGCGAUUAGAGAUCACUUGAGCACUCAUAUUUGGAAAUUCAAAAUUCCGGUGAAGGUCAAGAUCUUCGUCUGGCUGCUUAUGCGAAAUAGAGCACUCAUGGCAGAUAACCUUCUUAAGAGGGGUUGGAGUGAGGGCCACCUCUGCAUGUUAGAAGUUGGAUUGCUGGAUUAGUUGAAUUUCUCUUAAAGGAAAUAAAAAACGAAGGAUUAGUUGAAUCAUUCACUACUGCAUUUUUUUUUUAUCUAAUUAUUUAGCACUUUUGCAUAAAUCCUAUAGUUAGUUUGUAUUAUAGAGUGUUCUCCUUUCCUCAUACAUCUACAAUGGAUAAAUUCAUCUUGUAUUCUCUUUUGAGAAGAUACAACUUUUUUAUUUUUUAUAUUUUUUUUUUUCUUUUUCGUAUGUUGAUUCGUGUUAAGUUGCUUUCUAAUUUAUUAUUUAUUAUUGACGUUAUGCUGCUAUUUAAGUUGCAUCAGUGUUACUUUUCCAAACUAGAUAGUUGCGCAGGCCACUGUAUUGUAUAUUUGUUUGAUAUUCUAAAAUGAUUAUUUCAGAUUUGAUAGGUUUCUAACCAUAGAAAAUUUUAUCACUGUUUUUUACAAAAUUACUUGGAACUCUAAUAGAAAAUUCUACUUAACACCAAUAAUAAAUCAAUACUUAUGAUUUAAAAUUUGAGUUUUUUAUUACUUUUUUUAUAAAAUUUUUAUUUUCAGCAGUUUAUUUUGAGGCUAAGUUGUUUUAAAUGACGCAGCUUUCAAAUCGACGAUCGGUUCUCUUAGACUUGAUCUACACUAUUAAAAAUAUUUAAAAAUUAAAUUUUAUAAUUUUUCGACAUUAUUUGGCUAGUUAUCGAAAGGUCUUAAAAUUGAUAAUUUUAAUGGUAGAUGUGAUGCGUUUAUGAAUUUAUCGGUGUAAAAGAAUCCAAAUCUGAUAAAAUUUAUAUAAAAUUUUUUUUUCACUAUUUAGACUAACAUCAGUAUCUCUGAUUUUAAAUUCAAGUCUUUUAUUAUUAUUUUUUAUAAAAUUUUUAUUUUUAAUUAUUUAUUCUAGACUACUCGUUUAAUAAUUCAAAAUAUUUACUAUAAAAAAUAAUUUAUGAGUACGAACCGCUGUAUACUUGGAAGAAUCCACACUCACGCCAAAAAGAGAAAGGACAAGGGAGAAAUAAUGCUAUUGCUUUACAGCCUGUUGAAUAGCGAUAUUUUUGUCACAUGGGAAAGCAUCCACUUUCUACAUAUUAUCUUUUGUUGGCUUGAUUAAACUGUGCUAUCAUAUAAUUUAUUUACAUUUGAUUAAAGUUUAUUUAGCUCUCAACCUUUUAAGCGUGACGUUUAAAACUUAAAAAAUCUUAAAAAAUAAAAAUUACAACUAAUUAAAGUUUAAGAAUUAGAAGACGUAAAUAAAAAUUACAACUAAUUAAAGUUUGAGAAUUAAAAGACGUCUUCAAGAUAGGAAUUUGGGUGGGUGACAUGAGAUUUUCAACGUGUUGGGCCCCACACGGUGAAAAACAACGGACUUUGUUAGUCGCAGAGAAGUUACGCAGAAACUCCUACAUUAUUGGCUGUUCAAUACUAUUGGGUCAUCCCUUUUGGUCUUUCAUUGUGUUCAUCUGAUCAUUUGAGAAAGAACUAGAGAGCUAGCUACACAGGAAACAUGGCUUUGGCCUUUGUGGCUCAGUCCGCGGCGUCGGUCGUAAUCGAGAAGCUGAUCAGCACGGCCGUGUCCUACGUCGGGACAUGCGGCGCGGGGCCGAGCGCCAUGCAGAACGAGAUCCAGAGGCUUCAGCAGGCUUUUCCGCGGAUUCAAGCAAUUUUGGAUAUGGUCGAGGGGGGGCAGACAGUCGAUACAAAGCAAAACAAGGGGCUGGACGCCUGGCUGUGGCAACUCAGAGACGCUGUGGAUCAGGCGGAGGACGUGCUCGAUGAGAUGGAGUACUACAAGCUGGAGAAGGCAGUGCAAGCUGAAGAUAACAAGGUACUGUUGGGUCUGGAAUUUUAUUUAAUUUUACAGAAAUUUUAUUAAAUCAACAAACAAAUAAAUAUUAAAUUAAAGACGAAAUUAAAUUAAAAGAUAAAGGGUUUGGAAAAAUAGCUAGAUGAGACGUGUAAUGCACUAUCCGAGAGUACUUUAGUCCCUCUACGUGCUUGUCUUCGUCUAGUUGCUUAGGGGUGUAAUAUGGACCAGGACGCACGGGCCCUUACUUUAGUCCCUCUACGUGCUCACAUUAACCGGGCCAAAACAGGCUAGGGCCCGGCCUGGCCUAGCCCGAACCCGAGCUACCUAGCCUCGGGCCCGGACCGCCCCUUUGGCCCAGGACGCACGGGCCGUCUCGGGCUGGACCGUGCUUCUGGCCUGCCUCUUAAAGAAUUUAUUUUUAAAUUUUUUUAAAAAAAUUAGUAUAAAAUAUAAAAAUAUAAGCAAUAAAUAUUUUAAUUUAAAUUAAUAUUUUAAUUAAAUCAUUAAAAAUAAUUAUAACAUUGUAAAUUUUUAAUUUUUUUUAAAAAUAAAUAAAAUUAUAUUAUUUUUCUGAAAAAAAAAAAAAAGAGAUGGGUUUUGGUCCAAUGGACCAAAUAACUCCCGAGAGGUCCUCGGGAAGAGCUCAGACCCUAAGGGCCUUGGGGUCCCAGCCGAGCUGGCCCGGCUGGCACGCGGGCCGUGCCGUGUCUUACCGCCUACGUCUUCUCAGCCCGGCACGGCCCAGGCCCAUUCCGAGCCGUGCUGGGCCGUGGGGACUCAGAGCGGAGGCCCAGCAUGGCCCAAAAUCUCAGGCCGGCCUAGUCCGGCACAGGGGCUACCGUAUCUGUGCCGAGCUGUAACCCGGCCCGAGGCCGUGCUAGGUUGAACGGCCCACGUGCCGCUCGGCCCGUUUUACAUCCCUAUAGUUGCUCUAGCAACACAACACCUCAGAUUAUCCCGAUCUGCUUGAUUGUACGAGUCUCAAAAAAGUGCUCGAGUGACUGUCAAUUCAGCAUUUUUUUUUAGUCGGCAUUUUUUUUUAGUUAGGAUCUGGUAUAUAUCUUUGUUUUAUUGUCUUUUUUAUAAUAUAUAAAGUUGACUGUCGAAAGAACAUUGUAGGAUGUUCCACUAAAGAGGAAUACAUGAUCCCGCAUCUCGUAAAAAACGGUGUACCCCGUUUUUCGGAUAGAGGAGAGAGAGAAUACGUCGCGUAACUUCCUCAUAUUAAAUAUAUUGUAUUUAAAUUAAGUAUUAAAUUAAAUCUUUUAAUUAUCUAUUUGAUUUAAAUUAAAAUUUUAACUUAAACUAAUUCCAACAGGUACAACAAGGUACAGCACUCACCUUAAAAAGGAAGUUUGCUGAUUUUGCUAACAAUAUCUUCGGAAAUGACGACACCUUGACGAGGUUGAGGGAGGCCGUGAAGGCGUUAGAUAAUGUUGCUGCUGCUAGUGAAACUUUACAUCAACUUGUUUGGCAGCUAUACAAUUCGGAUGGUAAGCGUCAACAGGAAAAUGAGAUACGAAAUGUCCGUGAGACUACCUACUUAUUAACUGAGGAUACGAUGUUUGGUCGAGACAGGGAGAAGGAAAGGAUAGUUGAAUGGUUAACAAAACCGACAAGCGAUGAGCCGGAGAAUGCUUCUGCAGCUGUCGGAAAGGUCUCGGCUUUUACGAUCGUUGGCAUGGGUGGGUUGGGAAAAACCACUCUCGCGCAGUUCAUCUACCACGAUGAGAAAGUGCGGCAUUGUUUCGACUUGGUUAUGUGGGUGUGUGUUUCCGAUCAAUUUGAUGUGACUAUGCUGACAAGAAAGAUCUUGGAAGCGGCAAAGGUUGGGGAUAGCCCUGGCGACAAGUGCUGCCUUAAUACAAUUCAAGAUUUUCUUAAAAAGGAGCUGAUCUCGAAGAAGUUUCUUCUAGUGUUGGAUGAUGUUUGGAAUGAUGAUAAAAUACUUGAAUGGAAUAAAUUGGUGGCUCCUUUAAAAUUCGGAAAGAAAGGAAGCAAGAUUCUCUUGACAACGCGAAUGGAUUCAGUGGUGAAAAGAGUAGCCAAUGUUUUACAAUGUAAAGAAGAAUUUUUAAAAUUGAGUGGGUUAGAAAAAGAUGAUUUUAUGCAUCUUUUCAAUACGCAUGCAUUUGCCGGAGAGGAUAUUGACCAUCAUGUAAACCUAAAAUUGAUUGGAGAGCAAAUAGCAGAGAAGCUUGGAGGAUGCCCGUUGGCAGCAAAAAUUUUGGGCGGAUAUUUGAACUCUCGCAUGGAUGAAAAAUACUGGAGAAAAAUUUUGAAUAAAAAUUUUCUAAAUUUGCAAGAAAGUAAGGAUAACAUUACGAUGAUUCUGAGAUUGAGCUAUGAUCAUCUGCUGGAAAGCUUGCAAAUUUGCUUCAGAUACUGCAGUAUAUUUCCUAAGGAUUAUGAGUUCAAGAAGAAUGAGCUUAUCCAUUUGUGGAUAGGUUCUGGGUUAAUCAAGCAACCAACACAUGAAAAGGAAAGCUUAGAGGAUAUCGGAGAGGAGUAUUUAAACCAUCUAGCAAGAAAAUCCCUUUUUGAUAUCAAAAUAAGGGAGUAUGGUUCUGAUUGUGAACAGCGUUAUGUCAUGCAUGAUCUAUUGCAUGAUCUAGGUCAGCUUGUCUCUUCAGGUGAAUGUUUGGGAAUUGAAGGUGAUGGUUCUGGAGAUAUUCCCAAAACAAUCCGCCACAUAUAUGUCCGCAUGAACAAGGUAAACCCUGAUAUGAUCUCCCAUCUCAAGAACUUACGGACCCUUAUUAUUUAUUUAAAUGAGAAUUUCACUUCAGUAGCUUUUAAUGAGGUUCUAAAAGAGUUAAAAAGCUUACGCUUACUAAGAGUGACUUUAUAUGGCAAUAAGUUUCCAGAUGAAGUUGGUAAACUCAUUCACCUCCGCUACCUCUCCCUCUCCCUCUCUUCACAGGCUUGCAGAGGAAAUGAGAUAUAUGUUCUACCUCAAUAUGUGUGCAGACUCUAUCACCUAGAAGUAAUCAAGCUUUCGGAAUCAAUUAAAAUGUAUCAUUCGGUAUGGGAUAGAAUGAGCAAUCUUGUUAAAUUGAGGCUGCUAAGUUCUCCUUAUGCUAGAAUGGACGAGAUUCCUUGGAUUGGCAAACUAACAUCACUCCAGGAGUUACGCAAUUUCCGUGUCCGUGAGGAGUGUGGCUAUAAGAUAGAUCAAUUAAAAAACCUGCAAAACCUCCGAAAACUAGGCAUUGAGAGUCUGGAAAAUGUAAGGAGUUCUGAAGAGGCUGCGGAUGCCAACUUGAUUGAGAAAAAAAAUCUUGAUAAAUUAUCACUCGAUUGGUCUACGAAUCGCUCUGGUGGUCUAGAGGUAGAUGAGCCACUUCUUGAUCAUUUAAGACCACAUACCAAUCUCAAGGAAUUAGAAAUUGAAGGAUACGCCGGAGUUAGAUCUCCACAUUGGAUGACAGCGAUAUCUUCUCUUUCUUAUAUAAGGUCUAUCAAACUAUCCAAUUGUGAGAGAUGGGAGAACCUCCCAACUCUUGGGCAACUUCCUUCACUCAAGUUUCUUAAUUUAGAAAACAUGUGGGCUGUAAAGAAAUUAUGGUGCUCAACAAGUGUUGGCAGUUACGCCUUUCCAUCACUAGAGGAUCUUGAAUUGAAAAGUAUGCCAAACUUGGAGUUGUUCGAAGGCGAGCACAUGUUUCCUCGGCUUAAUGAAUUGAAAAUAACUUUUUGUCCAAGGUUGAAGGGUUUGCCUGCUUUGCCUCUUACUCUAAGUCUACUGGGGAUUCUUGAGGUCGGAUUGACUUCUCUUCCGAUGAUGCAACAAGACAGCUGCAGUAGCGGCCAAGGACGAGCAUCGUGCUCAUCAUCAUCGCAUCCGGCACUUUCUUACCUAGGAAUUAGUGAGUGCCCAAACCUCGCAUCUCUAGAUGGAUUCAUGUCGCAGCAGCAAUAUUUUCCAGUCUUGAAGAGUUUAUCCAUUAUAGGAUGUGAAAAUCUAAGGCAUUUGCCGAGAAAAUUCUUCCAAAAACUUCCCCUCAUCGAGCGUUUGACUAUAGAAAUGUGUCCCAAUCUCACGACGCUCGGGCUUCUAGAUAAUCUAUUGCCCGAGACACUUGUAAGGCAGGAGUCAUUGCCAAAACUGACGUCCCGUCCUCGGCUGGAAGUUUAUCCACAAUUGUUGAAACUCCGCAUCCGGAAUUGUAAAGAGCUGUCGUCACUGGAUGGGCUACAAGAUCUCCCCUCGCUCAUUGAGUUGCACAUUGAAGGAUGCGACAAGCUCAUCAAACUUUCACUAGGCGUCACUAGUACCAGCCACACAGAUAUGGUGCUGCGCCCUCCAAUGGAGAAGCUUCGUGAUCUUAAAAUCCGGUACUGUAAAGAGCUGUCGUCACUGGAUGGGCUACAAGAUCUCCCCUCGCUCAAAUCCUUGACCAUUCACGGAUGCGACAAGCUCAUCGAAUUAGGCGUCACUAGUACCAGCCACACAGAUAUGGUGCUUAGUGCUCUUCACAUCGACCGGCAUGCUUACUUGCGUCUCGAACCACUGAGGAGCCUCAGCUCUGUUAGCAAACUCCGCAUAUUUGAUGGCACUGGAGAAUUCACAUCCCUCGACGAGCAAUGGCUGUUGCAAAACCGAAACUCCCUUGAACAGCUAGAAAUUUCUCGGGCCUCGUCUCUUGAAUCCUUACCAACCAGUAUGAUAGAUCUUCAAGCCCUGCGUCAUUUGACUAUAAUGAAUGCUCCUUUGCUGCGAUCGAUUCCAGAACUACCCACCUCAAUGGAAUCUCUAACAAUUUGGGCCCAUACACGGGAAUUGAAGGAGUGCAUAGAAGGCUCUGGAAAAUUCGCCAAUAUUCCUCACGUGGAGGUUUAUUAAAAAUCUCCUUCAGAAAAAGAUCAGGUAUGUCCCGUCCCUUUACUUCUCUCCAACUCUCUUAAAUGCAACAUUUUCUUCUCAAUAUUAUUUGCAUCUUAGGCUUGUUUGACCCUGCCUUCUUUUUUUUUUCGCCUACUUUCAGUAAUAACAGCCUCUAAUAAAGUUUUCUCAAAAACAGCCUCUAAUAAAGCAUUUGUUAGAUAAGUAUAUUUUUAUAUUAUUUAUUACCUUAAUUAUUAAUUAAAUAGAUUGAAAUAAAAAAUUUAAUAAUAAAAAUAAUUUAAAUUGGUUUAUGUACAACAUAAUUUUUUGUAAAAACUUAUUAAUAAUUAAAUUAUUUUAUAAAGACAUGUAUGGAAAAAAAAAGGAGAGAGGAAAUGAUUAAAAUAAUUUAAAANAAAAAUGAGAGAGAAAGCUAUUAAAAUAAUUUUUAAAAAAUAUAUAUAUAAAUUUAAAUUUUAGUUAAUUUAAUAUAUCUAUAUUAACUAUUAGUUAUUAGUUAUUUAAUUUUAUUUCAUAAAAAAUAAUUAUAAUUAUUUGAAUUUCGUCAAAUUUUAUAUAAAAUUUAAAAAACAUUUUCUUUAGUUAACAAAAAUUAAUCAUAAAAUCUUUAAAAAAAUCAGUCGAAAAAAUAAAUUUGAGGGGCCUAUUUCAAGCAUCCUAAAUAGUAGAGGUGUUCUUCACACGGUUUUUACCCUUCCUUUUUUUUUUGUAAGAAUUUAUAGAAACUUCCUAAUUUUUUGUUUUUGGACUUUAGUUAUUUUUGUUGGUUUAAAAGAGCUAACAUUUUACUCUAUAGUGGGAGGUCAGAUUGGACCUAGUCACAUUCGAAAUUGCAUGAGACUGGGUUGGACCGAGUCAUGUUCCAAAUAAUGUGAGUCUGGUUGAAUCGAGUCACAAUCAAGACCCGUGGGUGCUUUAUAUGUAUGCUUUAACUAAAUUGAUUGUGUAUAAAUUAACGGCGAGUGCGGAUAAACAAGAAAGUGACACUUCCGUCAAUGACAUUAGAGUUGGAUUGUUGGAUUAGUUGAAUUUUCUCAUCAAAGAGAAAAAAAAAAGAUUGGUUUAAUCAUUCAGUACUCCACAUUUUUUAUCUAAUAAUUUAGCAUUGGUUUAGUACAUUUUUUUUAUGUAAAAGAUUGGUUUAAUCAUUUAGUCGAGCUAUCGGCCCUUGGCCCGGUUAUUCUUAACAGGAAUGGCCGUGGAGCGAGUUACUGCCUGCUGGAUUUGAACGCCCAUCCGCUUGUCAGCAACUGUGAUCCGAAACCAGUUCUAGAAGAAGAGGGAGCCGACAAGACUGACAGUCAGCCAACUCCGACUUUAUGUUUUUAAGUGAAUUGGUUGUGUACAAAUUAACGGCACAUUUGCAUAAAUGAGAAAGUGACACUUUGAUCAAUAAUAUAUAUAUAUUUUUUUUUGAGAAAUAGAUAGCACACUUUGAUCAAUAAUAUUAAAAGUUGGAUUGUUGGAUUAGUUGAAUUUUCUCCUCAAAAAGAAAAAAAAAAAGGAAGAAAGAGGACUGGUUGAAUCAUUCAAUACUUCACAUUUUUUAUCUAAUAAUUUAGUACCUUUGCAUAAAUCAUAAAGUUAAUUUGUAUUAUAUAUUGUUCUCGUUUUAUUGUACAUCUGUGAUAGAUAUAUUCUUUUUUAGAGAUGAUACAAAGUUUUUUGCUUUUUCUCUUUUUUUAUUUUCUGUAUGUGUACUUGUAUUAAGUUGCUUUCUAGUUGCCUGAUCAUAUGUUGCCAUAGAAGUUGCAUCAGUGUUUUUUCCAAAGUAGGUAGUUGUGUAGGUCACGGUACAGUAUAUUUGUUUGAAAUUCUAAAAAUGUUUUUUUCCCCAGAUUGAUAGACCUUUAAGCUACGAAAAUUUUGUACAACCCUUUAUAUUAUGGAAUGCAUGAUUGAUAUGUUUAUGUUUCAAUAACAGCAUGAGCGUUUACUCACCUUCAAAUUUGGAGCUCGAUCAAAUUUAUGAUCAAGUGGAGCUGAUUGCAGAACAGAAAAUAUGAAAGCAUCGGCGGAGUUCUGCUUUGACAAAGUUCACCUUUUAUGUUGUAAUUGCUUGAUGAAGUUCAAAGUAGUUUAUUAUUAUGUUUUAUAUAUUUAUUUUCUCUUUAAGUUCCUUAAUUUACUGUGAUAUUCUGGUACUAUGUUUGAUAGCAGAUUUAUUAGCUUGCUUUCUUCUGCAGUCGGCUUCAGUGGACAAAGCAUGAAGGAGCUCUUUCUGUAUCAUUUCUAGCUAUUUCUACCAUUGUUUGUUCAAGCUUGUUGUUGCUACUAUAAUAGCUGUACUAUUUUUUUUUUUUUUUUUUUAAUGCAGUGGAAGUGACUUGUAAGUUGUAAUACAACACAGAAAAACCGGAGCAUCUAGAAAGUUUUUUCCAAGCGAAGUUGUGCUGUAUUGUUAAUUUAGUCACUUUGAUUUACAAUAAAUGUAAAAUUGAGAUGUUAUUUUUACUUCCAUAAUUGAGUUCAUUGUUUCCACACAUCUCAUGUCCUGCUCAAAACUUACGCAAGGUUUCCAGUUCUAAAAGCUUAAGUGAGUAUAUAAUAAAUAUGUGAUGUUGCUUUUGAAGAAGAUGCUGUGUUAGUAACCUUAGUAAUCUUUUACCUAAGGUAUUCAUUCACAAGUAGCUCGAGUUUGAUUCAAAAUUGAAUAAGCAAACCUCGAGGUUGGCUCAAUCGUAAACAAGCCGAGCGUGACCGAGCAAAGUUUUUCAAUAAAUGCCCUCAAAGUUACAAGCAUACCAAGCAAAAAUUCUUUAUAUACAACACCAAAACCACAACACAAAAUGCUUAGCAAUAAAGAGAGGGAAAAAAAGAAGAAGAAGAAGCACCUACAGUCAAAGUAGCAACACAGAAUGCAAGGCGGUUGAAUCGUGAUCAGUUCCAAAUCCGAAGGCGUGGAUCGGAAUUCUUUGGCCUGAGCCAUGAAGAAUGGAUAACGGGAUAAGCAGCCCGUAGUCUAUAGAGGCUCCGCUAUUGUUAGAGGAGA
rnacentral:lncRNA from 1 species